AACGAACGCUGGCGGCAUGCCUAACACAUGCAAGUCGAACGAGACCUUCGGGUCUAGUGGCGCACGGGUGCGUAACGCGUGGGAACCUGCCCUUAGGUUCGGAAUAACUCCCCGAAAGGGGUGCUAAUACCGGAUAAUGUCUUCGGACCAAAGAUUUAUCGCCUUUGGAUGGGCCCGCGUUGGAUUAGCUAGUUGGUAGGGUAAAAGCCUACCAAGGCGACGAUCCAUAGCUGGUCUGAGAGGAUGAUCAGCCACACUGGGACUGAGACACGGCCCAGACUCCUACGGGAGGCAGCCGUGGGGAAUAUUGGACAAUGGGCGGAAGCCUGAUCCAGCCAUGCCGCGUGAGUGAUUAAGGCCUUAGGGUUGUAAAGCUCUUUUACCCGGGAUGAUAAUGACAGUACCGGGAGAAUAAGCUCCGGCUAACUCCGUG
rnacentral:rRNA from 1 species